CCAGGGUUGUUUGUCACUUGUGUCUUCUUCAGGAUCUUGGAGAGAGCCUGGUUUCAGUAUCCCCUGUCUGUGGCCCUGCCUUCGGGGAAGCUGUGGUCCGUCUUCAGGAGGCUUUGGGAGCUGCUUUUGCAGGGCUGAGCACUGCUCCGGGGUGGUGGGGGGGUCCCUCCUGGGACCGUGCUUCUUGUGCUGGAGUUGGGGCCUGCGUGCCCUGUGGGGGUUGUGCUGCCUCAUGGGGGUGUUGAUCCUGGACCCUCUGCUGGGAGUACCUGUGGGGCCCUCGUAGGGCAGGAUGAAUCUACAGAUAAGCUGUGGGGGGCUGAGCACAGCAGCCAGGCACGGGUUCCCAGACCCCGUGGGUGCUCUCGUGAUGUCGUCCUCUGCUCUGCCUUGCCCAGGGGUGAUUGGGCUUCCGAGGGGCACGCCAGGCCUGGAGACCACAGGGCCUGCUGACAGGGGACCUCUGGCAUCCCCCUUGUGUGUCCCCAACGUGCCUGCCAUACCAGAUGUCUAUGUGCCGCUCACCUGGCUGCACCCGGGGAGGCUCAUUGCGUGUGGGUGUGUGGGUGUGCUGGGUGUGCCCGUCCCCUUGUUGCCCUCAGAGCAUCGUGGGUCAGCCUCCCUCCAGUCCAGCCCAGCAGACCCUCCAUGGCCGCGUGUGCCCCACCUGUGUCUUCCGCAGACCAGGGACACCUGCUGUGCUGGGUGGCUUCGUACCCGGGUUGAGAGGCCCCCUCGGUGGCCUUGUGUGCUCUCUCAGUGGCCAUGCGUGGUCAGACCUGUGAGUGGGGGCUACAUGAGGAGGCCGCUGUGCUUGCUGGAGCAUGAUGUGUGGCCCUUGGGGCCCAGGUGGACGCUGGCUGCUGGGCAUCUUGCGUGUCUUUAUUUGCACAUGAUGUGAUUGUGCAGUUCUGUCGACAACUGGGGUUUGAAGUCAGCAGGCCAGCAUAGAGCUUGUUGCCUUGAGCCACGUUCCCCGUUUCCGAUGCUGGGCCCUUUGUGGUUCUGGUUCUGGUUUGGUUGCCGGGAGACCUCUGUUGACAGGCUCUCUGUCCCCCUGCCUUUGCAGCCCUGGGGUGCCAUGUUGGGGGGCAGUGUGGUCAGCAGUGAUAGAUGAGCACCCCAAGCUGUGGUCACUGUUGUGGGCGCCCUGGAUGCUUGUGGCAUGUUCCCACGGCUCAGCAGGUGCCUUUCAGGGCAUCUUCGGAGGAUAAAAGAAAGAAGAUGAAGACAGUGUGGAAUGGGCGAAAGAGCAGACAACUGGUUCAACGAGACAGGACAGACCCACGUGAUGGAGUUAACCGCCCUGCGACAAAGGAGCAAAGGGAAAUCAGUGGAGUGGAGGCCGUCUCUUCAACACAGGGUGUUGGAACAACUGGACGUCCACGCGCAAAGAAGUGAACCCACAUGCAGACCUUACUCUUCUCACUCCUUCCUCCUGUCACCUGUCUCCCCAUCCCCCCCACCUCCCCUCUGGUACCAGCAGUGUGUUCUCUGUAGCUAAGAGUCUGUUUCUUGGUUUCUC